AUUGAACGCUGGCGGCAUGCCUUACACAUGCAAGUCGAACGGUAACGCGGGGCAACCUGGCGACGAGUGGCGAACGGGUGAGUAAUGCAUCGGAACGUGCCUGGUAGUGGGGGAUAACUGUUCGAAAGAGCAGCUAAUACCGCAUACGACCUGAGGGUGAAAGGGGGGGAUCGCAAGACCUCUCGCUAUCAGAGCGGCCGAUGUCGGAUUAGCUAGUUGGUGGGGUAAAGGUCCACCAAGGCAACGAUCCGUAGCUGGUCUGAGAGGACGACCAGCCACACUGGGACUGAGACACGGCCCAGACUCCUACGGGAGGCAGCAGUGGGGAAUUUUGGACAAUGGGCGCAAGCCUGAUCCAGCCAUGCCGCGUGCAGGAUGAAGGCCUUCGGGUUGUAAACUGCUUUUGUACGGAACGAAAAGACUCUCUCUAAUACAGGGGUGAAUGACGGUACCGUAAGAAUAAGCACCGGCUAACUACGUGCCAGCAGCCGCGGU
rnacentral:rRNA from 1 species